GUGUUUGCAAUGAUUAAAAGAUAAUUCCUCGUUCUGAAUGCUCCACUGGGCAUGACAGACUCUUUUACACCCAUAGAAUCUGAGCUCU
rfam:Citrus clementina cultivar Clemenules unplaced genomic scaffold scaffold_7, whole genome shotgun sequence.